rnacentral:rRNA from 1 species
UACGUAGGGGGCAAGCGUUGUUCGGAAUUACUGGGCGUAAAGGGCGCGUAGGCGGCAUGGCAAGUCAGGAGUGAAAGGCCUGGGCUCAACCGAGGAACUGCUUUUGAUACUGCCAAGCUAGAGUGCGGAAGGGGCAACUGGAAUUCCCAGUGUAGCGGUGAAAUGCGUAGAUAUUGGGAAGAACACCUGAGGCGAAGGCGGGUUGCUGGGCCGACACUGACGCUGAGGCGCGAAAGCGUGGGGAGCGAACGGG